rnacentral:snRNA from 1 species
GCUCCCUUCAGCGGCACAUACUGAAACUUGAGUGAUACAGAAAGGAUUAGCGUGGCCCCUGCACAAGGAUGACACGCAAAUCCGUGAGGCGUUCCAUAUUUUU